rnacentral:rRNA from 1 species
CAGCAGCCGCGGUAAUACGUAGGGUGCGAGCGUUCAUCGGAUUUACUGGGCGUAAAGCGUGCGCAGGCGGCCCGUUAAGACAGGUGUGAAAUCCCUGGGCUCAACCUAGGAAUUGCGCUUGUGACUGGCGGGCUCGAGUACGGUAGAGGGGGGUGGAAUUCCUGGUGUAGCAGUGAAAUGCGUAGAGAUCAGGAGGAACACCGAUGGCGAAGGCAGCCCCCUGGGCCGGUACUGACGCUCAUGCACGAAAGCGUGGGGAGCAAACAGGAUUAGAUACCCUGGUAGUCCACGCCCUAAACGAUGGGUACUAGCCGUUUGGUGCGCGAGAGCGCUGAGUGGCGAAGCUAACGCGUGAAGUACCCCGCCUGGGGAGUACGGCCGCAAGGUUGAAACUUAAAGGAAUUGGCGGG